rnacentral:rRNA from 1 species
GACGAACGCUGGCGGCAUGCCUAAUACAUGCAAGUUGAACGAUGAUAUUCUCUGCUUGCAGAGAAUUGAAGAGUAGCGAACGGGUGAGUAACACGUGGGGAACCUGCCCAUGAGAGGGGGAUAACAUUCGGAAACGGAUGCUAAUACCGCAUAAUGCUUUGGACCGCCUGGUCCAGAGACGAAAGACGGCUUUUGCUGUCACCCAUGGAUGGCCCCGCGCCGUAUUAGCUAGUUGGUGAGGUAAUGGCUCACCAAAGCUGUGAUACGUAGCCGACCUGAGAGGGUGAUCGGCCACACUGGGACUGAGACACGGCCCAGACUCCUACGGGAGGCAGCAGUAGGGAAUCUUCCACAAUGGGCGAAAGCCUGAUGGAGCAAUGCCGCGUGAAUGAAGAAGGUCUUCGGAUCGUAAAGUUCUGUUAUUAGAGAAGAACAAGUCAAGGAGUAACUGUCUUGACUUUGACGGUACCUAACCAGAAAGUCACGGCUAACUACGUG